rnacentral:hammerhead_ribozyme from 1 species
GCAUUGCUGAGGAGUCCCAUAAUAGAACGAAACGGCCGUCCAAUGC